rnacentral:tRNA from 1 species
GAAAAAUUAGUUAAAAGUAAUAAUAUUGGUUUGUCAUUCCAAAGUAACUAUGAAGGUAGUAUUUUUCU